ensembl:lncRNA
CCUACAUUGGGGACCUCCGUUGCUAUGUAGUGGGAAGCCAUCGCGGCCCAGAGGAAACUUUCCUCUGGAGGACUGUUUCCUCUGGAGCUUGAGUGGCUGCUGUAAGCAUCGUUCAAAGAUGAUCGGUCGGUCUUCAAUGCUACAAGGAGACAGGAAGUCUGCGUGCCAGUCUGCCUCAGAGCUCACUUCAGGCUUCUUGUGUGUCCGAUGUAGGAUGCUGUUGUAAGAUACUCACACCAAACUCUUGUUGUUUAAAACGGCAGCAUAUCUGACCUGUAACUUUGGAUCCAGAAUAGACUUUUACUGCUUCCGCUUCUCCUAAUUUGGCUCAAGAUGUUUGGUGUCACCAAAAUGAUUUUCGGAUUAACUAGUCUCUCCUUGAAUAUUGUAAACAUUAAUUAUUACUAAAGAGUUAUAAGUAUGAAAUAGAUUUUAUUACACGAGAAAAAGGGAAAAGUAGAUACAUUGUAGGUACAUCUCUCGGCUCCUGACCCCGGAUUCCAGCCCUUCGACGUCUGACGCCGUAACUGCCGAUUCCUCCAGGCCGUCCUCCAGAUCGUCCUCCAGGCCGUCCUCCAGAUCGUCCUCCAGGCCGUCCUCCAGAUUGUCCGCCAGGCCGUCCUCCAGGCCGUCCUCCAGACCCUCCUCCAGAUCGUCCUCCAGACCCUCCUCCAGGCCGUCCUCCAGACCCUCCUCCAGACCGCCCUCCAGAUCGUCCUCCAGAUCGUCCUCCAGGCCGUCCUCCAGACCCUCCUCCAGGCCGUCCUCCAGAUCGUCCUCCAGAGAACUCCCGGUCACUCGACUGUGGUCCCCCGGACUGUCCUCUCCCUCCCACCCCAUAUUGUGUUUAGGUUAUUUCUCUGUAUGGCCCAACCACCCACCUUUGUGUUGAAUCAUUGACUCUUCUGUGUUGUGUUCCUAAAUAAAGUUUAUUUUGUUCGUAAAGUCUGCGAUUGGGUCCUACUUCUGCCAUCAACUGUGAUAGAGAAUGAUGCAGCUUGUGUACUAACAAGAACUAAGAAAAGGGAUCAUAUUACUCCUGUUUUAGCAUCUCUGCACUGGCUCCCUGUUAAAUCAAUAAUAGAAUUUAAG